UUAAAUGUUGGGAAAACUUCAAAUACCACCCCUAUGAUUUCACACUUUCUCACUUUAGUAUUCUGUGGUUUAAAAUGUAUCAGUUUAGUGUCCUAUGGCUUUAUUUUUAUCUUUUUGUUAUUGAUUCUAAUCAUUUUUUUGAUUAAAUUAGUGACAAAGUUAAAACUAAAGAACAAUAAAGUGAAUAUUCGAUAAAUCUAGGUGAGGUAUUUGAAAUUUUUUGUAUAUAAUUUAAUAAAAUAUUAACGCAAAAGCUGACAAAAAGAUAAAAAUAAAACCACAUUACACUAAUUUAAUAUAUUUUAAACCACAUGAUACUAAAGUGGAAAAAGUACGAAACCACGGGAGUGGUCUUUGAAUUUUACCCUUAAAUGUUUAAU
rnacentral:lncRNA from 1 species